UUCUAUGGGGAUCGUAUUUUCGUGCGAUGUCACCAAGGACACAAACUGAUGAUGGGUGGUCAACUGCUGGAGAGUUUCUCAACUACGUGCCAAGAGAACGGACAGUGGCGUGAUCGCCUGCCGGACUGCAAAAAAUUCCGCUGUGGGGAACCCCAAACAUUGCAAAAUGGAUGGAUGACGUACUUGUCUGGUGCUCCGAAUGAAUACCUGUCAGUGAUCCAGUAUGGCUGUGAUCCUGCGUACUCUCUCCAAGGUCACGACAACGGUGCGAGGUUUUGGCCAGAUGGA